AAAAUUAGUUGCCAUCAGCGAGGUAUAGAGUUCCUACGUUAUUAUAUAAAAUGUGUAGGAACUUCAUACCGUGCUCUUGGACUGCUAUG
rnacentral:pre_miRNA from 1 species